rnacentral:rRNA from 1 species
CCAGACUCCUACGGGAGGCAGCAGUGGGGAAUAUUGCACAAUGGGGGAAACCCUGAUGCAGCGACGCCGCGUGAAGGAAGAAGUAUUUCGGUAUGUAAACUUCUAUCAGCAGGGAAGAAAAUGACGGUACCUGACUAAGAAGCCCCGGCUAACUACGUGCCAGCAGCCGCGGUAAUACGUAGGGGGCAAGCGUUAUCCGGAUUUACUGGGUGUAAAGGGAGCGUAGACGGCAUGGCAAGUCUGAUGUGAAAACCCGGGGCUCAACCCCGGGACUGCUCUUGGAACUGCGUGGCUGGAGUGCGGGAGGGGCAGGCGGAAUUCCUAGUGUAGCGGUGAAAUGCGUAGAUAUUAGGAGGAACACCAGUGGCGAAGGCGGCCUACUGGACGGUGACUGACGCUGAGGCUCGAAAGCGUGGGGAGCAAACAGGAUUAGAUACCCUGGUAA